rnacentral:rRNA from 1 species
AACGUAGGUGGCAAGCGUUAUCCGGAAUUACUGGGCGUAAAGGGUGUGCAGGCGGGGUUGCAAGUGGGGGAUGAAAUAUCCCAGCUUAACUGGGAGGGGUUAUGCCAGACUGCAACUCUAGAGGACGAGAGAGGGGGGUGGAAUUCCGGGUGUAGUGGUGAAAUGCGUAGAGAUCCGGAGGAACCCCAGAGGCGAAGGCGGCCCCCUGGCUCGUACCUGACGCUCAGCCACGAAAGCAUGGGGAGCGAACGGG